rnacentral:misc_RNA from 2 species
AAGUCGUAACAAGGUUUCCGUAGGUGAACCUGCGGAAGGAUCAUUACCGAGUGAGGGCCCUCUGGGUCCAACCUCCCACCCGUGUUUAUUUUUCCUUGUUGCUUCGGCGGGCCCGCCUUAACUGGCCGCCGGGGGGCUCACGCUCCCGGGCCCGCGCCCGCCGAAGACACCCUCGAACUCUGUCUGAAGAUUGUAGUCUGAGUGAAAAUAUAAAUUAUUUAAAACUUUCAACAACGGAUCUCUUGGUUCCGGCAUCGAUGAAGAACGCAGCGAAAUGCGAUACGUAAUGUGAAUUGCAAAUUCAGUGAAUCAUCGAGUCUUUGAACGCACAUUGCGCCCCCUGGUAUUCCGGGGGGCAUGCCUGUCCGAGCGUCAUUGCUGCCCUCAAGCACGGCUUGUGUGUUGGGCCCCGUCCUCCGAUCCCGGGGGACGGGCCCGAAAGGCAGCGGCGGCACCGCGUCCGGUCCUCGAGCGUAUGGGGCUUUGUCACCCGCUCUGUAGGCCCGGCCGGCGCUUGCCGAUCAACCCAAAUUUUUAUCCAGGUUGACCUCGGAUCAGGUAGGGAUACCCGCUGAACUUAA